ACGCUGGCGGCAUGCCUAACACAUGCAAGUCGAACGAGACCUUCGGGUCUAGUGGCGCACGGGUGCGUAACGCGUGGGAAUCUGCCCUUGGGUUCGGAAUAACAGCUAGAAAUGGCUGCUAAUACCGGAUGAUGACGUAAGUCCAAAGAUUUAUCGCCCAAGGAUGAGCCCGCGUAGGAUUAGCUAGUUGGUGAGGUAAAAGCUCACCAAGGCGACGAUCCGUAACUGGUCUGAGAGGAUGAUCAGUCACACUGGAACUGAGACACGGUCCAGACUCCUACGGGAGGCAGCAGUGGGGAAUAUUGGACAAUGGGCGAAAGCCUGAUCCAGCCAUGCCGCGUGUGUGAAGAAGGUCUUCGGAUUGUAAAGCACUUUAAGUUGGGAGGAAGGGUUGUAGAUUAAUACUUUGCUGUUUUGACGUUACCGACAGAAUAAGCACCGGCUAACUCUGUGCCAGCAGCCGCGGUAAUACAGAGGGUGCAAGCGUUAAUCGGAAUUACUGGGCGUAAAGCGCGCGUAGGUGGUUCGUUAAGUUGGAUGUGAAAUCCCCGGGCUCAACCUGGGAACUGCAUUCAAAACUGACGAGCUAGAGUAUGGGUAGAGGGGUGGUGGAAAUUUCCUGUGUAGCGGUGAAAUGCGUAGAUAUAGGAA
rnacentral:rRNA from 1 species